rnacentral:tRNA from 1 species
GUGGGCGUAGCUCAGUUGGUAGAGCGCCUGACUGUGGCUCAGGCUGUCGUGGGUUCAACCCCCAUCGCUCACCCCA